CAUUGAGUUAGAAUGAAUCAAUCUUCAGUAGUGGAAAAACCUUCACAGGGACCGUACACAAGUCCACCGCCGAUUGGUUAUCCGACCAGAGAUGCUGUGGUUGGUGAUCCUCGGGUAUCGUCAGUGGAGACGAAGUCCAAGGGUGAUGAUGGGCUUUUUGCAAGAUGUUGGUUUCUCAUAUGCUGUUGUUGUGUCCUGGACAAUUGCUGUCGUUGACUUCGGAGUUAAAGAUUUCAUGCAGAUUAUUGCUAUAAUAAAAUAUAUAUUUGAUGAUUGUUGUGUUACUUUUUAAUUACUCUUUAUAUUUGGAAUAUGUUCUGCCGAUGGUUGUUUUAGUUAUGUUUUGCAAUAUAAAAUUAAAGAUCAUGAUAUAUAUUAAAGUGAUCGAAUUAAUAUAUAUAAUUAUAUAAAUCUAUUUUGGAUACAUUCAGAUACUUGAAAUACGUUGGUUCAGAUCAGAUUAGGUUUCAGUUCUCUAAAUACCAAAACUUUGAAUAAUUCAGAUAUUUAAUUAAUUUUGAUUCGAGUUUAGUACUUUUUUUUUUAUCGGAAUCAGUUUGGUUCUUCGGAUUCAAGUUUUUUGCCCAAUCCUAAAUAAUGAUAUAAAAACAAAUAGCAACAUAUUUUUGAAAAAUAUACCGGCGCGGAUACGCGGAUCAAAAUCUAGCGUAUCCUUAUAUCAAAAGAUCAAAAAGAAUCAUAUAUGAGUUAAUGUAUGAUUUUUCCAAUAGUUUCAUACUAUAGUUUCUAAACAGAUAAUAGUUUAACAAAAAGAAAAGAAAAUUAUAAAACAAAGAAUCAAACAUGCUAGAGUAUUGUAGUGAUGAUGUUCCAAACUUUGUGUAAGAAUGAGAAUGACGAAAAUUGUUAAAAUGCAUACAAGUUAAUACAUGUGGAAAAUGUGAAUUUUUAUACUCCUAAUGAAAAACUAAAAACUGUUCGAAAAAAUAUUGACAUAAGUCAUAGACUCAUAGUAUACCACAGUAAAGUAAGCUUAAUUAAUACUAGGUAAUAAUUUGUGUCUUACACGGGAUGUGAUUAUUAGAUUCAUUAUUUUUAAUUAAAAAACAUUAAUUUUUUUAAUUUGGAUAUUGGUUCGGUUUUGAGUUUUUUUUUGGUUUUUAAUCUUCUAAAAUAUGACCAUUAUUUUAAAUUAAUAUUCAUUUUAGUUUAUUCGGUUAAAAUAUUUAGUUUUUUGGGUUUUUUUCCGGUAAAAACCAAAAAUUAAUAAUAUUGGUUUAUUUUCAUGUCGAACCAAUAGUUUAUACUAUAGUUUCUAAACAGAUAAUAGUUUAAGAAGAAAAAAAAUAAAAUUAUAAAACAAAUCAUUUCACUACAAUUUGGUUGGUAGUGAAAGAAGCAUUAAGAAAAAAAAUUUCAACUUUCAAAAAAAUUAGAUACUUCAGUUGUGGUGAAUACUUAUUUACAAGGUGCUCACAUUAAGGUGUACAUGUAUGUGUAUGUAAAAAAUAUAUAAAAAUAGUUGACAAAUAUAAAAAAAUAUUGUUAAUUAAUAUUAAAUGACAUUUUUGUUCCAAAUAAUAGAUGAAAGAUAAAAUUAAAAUUAAUUUAAAAUAAAAAAAGUCCUUGACAUUAGUCAUUUUUUACAUAUAAA